rnacentral:tRNA from 1 species
UCCCUGGUGGCUCAGAUGGUAAAGCAUCUGCCUACAAUGCAGGAGACCCAGGUUCAAUCCUUGGGUUGGGAA